AUUACAUUUCCAAAGUAACCUUCCCAACACUGGUCACAUCAAACUUUACUCAGAUGUUGAAUAUAAUUAGUCACUCGCAUUCACUUGUUUUUCAGAGGUCCAUAAUCAUGAACCUUGUGCACAACUGUUUAGCUUUUAUGACUAUGCAGGUAACGUCAAUGAAGAAAAUCUCAACAGAAUCCUCAAGGACAGAAGAAAAAAUGUUAUCGGCUGGUACCGGUUUAGAAGGAACACUCA